rnacentral:antisense_RNA from 1 species
CUUCACCGAUCCCAGCCACAGCGGCCGGUCCUCGGGCCUCCCCUGCCCGUAGGUCGCGAGGAGCGCGUCCGCCUC